CACCUGCAUUAUUGUACGUUACCUACAGAAGAAGCACCGGCUAACUCCGUCGCCAGCAGCCGCGGUAAUACGGGAGGGUGCGAGCGUUAAUACGGAAUUACGUGGGACGUAAAGCGCAUGCAGGCGGCCUAGUUAAGUCAGAUGUAGAAACGGCCCGGGGACCGUUUAACCGUACGGUAAGUUGCUAUUUAGUAAACGUGGCGAGGCUAGAGUCUUGUAGAGGGGGGUAGGAAUUUCAGGUGUAGCGGUGAAAUGCGUAGAGAUCUGAAGGAAUACCAGUGGCGAAGGCGGCCCCCUGGACAAAGACUGACGCUCAGAUGCGAAAGCGUGGGGAGCAAACAGGAUUAGAUACCCUGGUAG
rnacentral:rRNA from 1 species